UACGUAGGGUGCGAGCGUUAAUCGGAAUUACUGGGCGUAAAGCGUGCGCAGGCGGUUUUGUAAGCCAGAUGUGAAAUCCCCGGGCUCAACCUGGGAAUGGCAUUUGGGACUGCAAGGCUUGAGUGCGGCAGAGGGGACUGGAAUUCCUGGUGUAGCAGUGAAAUGCGUAGAUAUCAGGAGGAAUACCGAUGGCGAAGGCAGGUCUCUGGGCUGACACUGACGCUCAUGCACGAAAGCGUGGGGAGCAAACAGG
rnacentral:rRNA from 1 species